GACGAACGCUGGCGGCGUGCCUAAUACAUGCAAGUCGAGCGGACUAAUGGGAGCUUGCUCCCGUUAGUUAGCGGCGGACGGGUGAGUAACACGUGGGCAACCUACCUGUAAGACUGGGAUAACUUCGGGAAACCGGAGCUAAUACCGGAUGACAUAAAGGAACUCCUGUUCCUUUAUUGAAAGAUGGCUUCGGCUAUCACUUACAGAUGGGCCCGCGGCGCAUUAGCUAGUUGGUGAGGUAACGGCUCACCAAGGCGACGAUGCGUAGCCGACCUGAGAGGGUGAUCGGCCACACUGGGACUGAGACACGGCCCAGACUCCUACGGGAGGCAGCAGUAGGGAAUCUUCCGCAAUGGACGAAAGUCUGACGGAGCAACGCCGCGUGAGCGAUGAAGGCCUUCGGGUCGUAAAGCUCUGUUGUUAGGGAAGAAUAAGUGCUAGUUGAAUAAGCUGGCACCUUGACGGUACCUAACCAGAAAGCCACGGCUAACUACGUGCCAGCCGCCGCGGUAAUAC
rnacentral:rRNA from 1 species